rnacentral:tRNA from 1 species
GUCCCUGUACCGCAAUGGGUAGCGCAUUGGACUUCUAAUCCAAAGGUAAUGGGCUCGAAUCCCACCUGGGAUG